GAUCUUCCAUGCUGUUGAUUUUUGACUGUCCACAGUAACAGACGUCUUUUGAACUCGCAAUUUACUUAGGCAUGUGCUAUUAGGCGAGAAAUUUAAUCAUAUCGAACUCGAUUCUUCUGAGAAAAAGAAAUCAGAAUCUGAGAAGGAGGUAAUUUAUUGAACGUAACUGCUAAAAAUUCAAUCAAAAGAACACACGAGACGAUGACUUUCAAACUGAACUUGUUAUUCAUACUUGUUGUCUUCAAUGUGUUCAGCUUAGGAUACCCAUCUGGUUCAAAAUCACCUUUGCUUCCUGAUGAGCGACCAGCAUAUUGUAGUAUGCCUCAUGACUCUGGUCCUUGCCUUACGGAUGAGACGUCAAUGAAAGCAGCAUUUCAAUGGAGAUUCUUUUUUUCGACAUUAUCGAAUGAAUGUUUUCCUUUCAAGUACGGGGGCUGCGGCGGAAAUAAAAAUAAUUUUAUAAAUUUUGAAGAAUGCAUGAAAAUAUGCAAAUAAUAAUAGUUUAUAUACUUUAACAAUGAAAAAUAUUUUAAAUCCAUUCAAGAAUAUAAAAUUCUUUCAAGCCUAACAUUAUGGAGGCUUUCCCUUAUAUUCAUAUGUUUUGGUAAUAGUUUGAUAUUGAGUUUAAGUUGAAGCACUAAAUAAAAGACCUUGUAAAGUCUUUAUAAAAUA